rnacentral:rRNA from 1 species
GAUGAACGCUGGCGGCGUGCCUAAUACAUGCAAGUCGAGCGAACAGACGAGGAGCUUGCUCCUCUGACGUUAGCGGCGGACGGGUGAGUAACACGUGGAUAACCUAUCUAUAAGACUGGGAUAACUUCGGGAAACCGGAGCUAAUACCGGAUAAUAUAUUGAACCGCAUGGUUCAAUAGUGAAAGACGGUUUUGCUGUCACUUAUAGAUGGAUCCGCGCCGCAUUAGCUAGUUGGUAAGGUAACGGCUUACCAAGGCAACGAUGCGUAGCCGACCUGAGAGGGUGAUCGGCCACACUGGAACUGAGACACGGUCCAGACUCCUACGGGAGGCAGCAGUAGGGAAUCUUCCGCAAUGGGCGAAAGCCUGACGGAGCAACGCCGCGUGAGUGAUGAAGGUCUUCGGAUCGUAAAACUCUGUUAUUAGGGAAGAACAAAUGUGUAAGUAACUAUGCACGUCUUGACGGUACCUAAGCAGAAAGUCACGGCUAACUACGU